AUUGAACGCUGGCGGCAUGCCUUACACAUGCAAGUCGAACGGUAACAGGUCUUCGGAUGCUGACGAGUGGCGAACGGGUGAGUAAUACAUCGGAACGUGCCUAGUAGUGGGGGAUAACUACUCGAAAGAGUGGCUAAUACCGCAUGAGAUCUACGGAUGAAAGCAGGGGAUCGCAAGACCUUGUGCUACUAGAGCGGCCGAUGGCAGAUUAGGGAGUUGGUGGGAUAAAAGCUUACCAAGCCGACGAUCUGUAGCUGGUCUGAGAGGACGGUCAGCCACACUGGGACUGAGACACGGCCCAGACUCCUACGGGAGGCAGCAGUGGGGAAUUUUGGACAAUGGGCGAAAGCCUGAUCCAGCAAUGCCGCGUGCAGGAUGAAGGCCUUCGGGUUGUAAACUGCUUUUGUACGGAACGAAAAGCCCCGGGUUAAUGCCCUGGGGUCGUGACGGUACCGUAAGAAUAAGCACCGGCUAACUACGUGCCAGCCGCCGCUGUAA
rnacentral:rRNA from 1 species